GACGGAACACCUUCGCGUACAGGCUCACAGCCCCCAUCCCGACCUUCUCCGCCAGCACCAUCACAGACAUUACCAAGCACAAGACCACCACCGCCCGUAACACCGGAACAAUCACGUCCUCCCUUGCCACCCGCCAUAUCAGCGCCAACUGCUCCAAGAGACCAGUGGAGUUCAAGGAGAAGACAAGCUCAGUAACACGAGCGACCAACAAACCGGGACGGUGGGAUGGAUUGGCAUGCAUUGUCU
rnacentral:misc_RNA from 1 species